rnacentral:rRNA from 1 species
GACGAACGCUGGCGGCGUGCUUAACACAUGCAAGUCGAACGGAAAGGCCCUGCUUUUGUGGGGUGCUCGAGUGGCGAACGGGUGAGUAACACGUGAGUAACCUGCCCUUGACUUUGGGAUAACUUCAGGAAACCGGGGCUAAUACCGGAUAGGAGCUCCUGCUGCAUGGUGGGGGUUGGAAAGUUUCGGCGGUUGGGGAUGGACUCGCGGCUUAUCAGCUUGUUGGUGGGGUAGUGGCUUACCAAGGCUUUGACGGGUAGCCGGCCUGAGAGGGUGACCGGCCACAUUGGGCCUGAGAUACGGCCCAGACUCCUACGGGAGGCAGCAGUGGGGAAUAUUGCACAAUGGGCGGAAGCCUGAUGCAGCAACGCCGCGUGCGGGAUGACGGCCUUCGGGUUGUAAACCGCUUUCGCCUGUGACGAAGCGUGAGUGACGGUAAUGGGUAAAGAAGCACCGGCUAACUACGUG